UUUCCUUCCUUCCUUCCUUCCUUCCUUCCUUCCUUCCUUCCUUCCUUCCUUCCUUAAUGUCUCUUGUGUCUAUACCAGCCUCUCUCCUUCUCUCCUUUCCUUCUCUCCUUUCCUUCCUUCCUUCCUUCUUCCCUUCCUUCCUUCCUUAAUGUCUCUUAUGUGUAUACCAGGCUCUCUCCUUCUCUCCUUUCCUUCCUUCCUUCCUUCCUUCCUUCCUUCCUUCCUUCCUUCCUUCCUUCCUUCCUUCCUUCCUUCCUUCACAUAUCCAUCUCUCCAGGCUCAGCCCAGUCUCAGAGAACCCAGCAGAGUGGUUCUGAGCGACGGCGCCUGUUGGACCAUCAUUGGAGUGGAAGCGGUGGAGUUCACCUUUAACCAGGGUCCAGCCUGCGUCCAGACACCAGUCAGUCCGUUCCCAGUUAUCACUGGUUUAGAGGUGAACGGUGGAGGACACGUCGCCACGCUGGAGGUCAGUGGAGAAAACUUCAGUCCUCAUCUCAAAGUGUGGUUUGGAAACACGGAGGCCGAGACCAUGUUCAGGUGAGACAUGAUGCAGAGAGGAGGGACGGAGGAGGAGGAUGUAGUGAGUUCUGAUCAAUGAGCUGAGACCUGACGGCCUGAACAGGAGGCAGACGUUAAGAGACACAGGCUUAGGUUCUGGACACAACUGGUGAAUAGGCCAUAAGGCAGGUUGGACUCAAACUGUCAGAACACUUUAUAUAGUGGACCCACAUGCACAGUGGAGUAAGUAUAGAGAAUUUAAUAAGAAUCUGUAGGUCAAGGUACAGACAGAGGUCGAUUCCCAGUUGUCCAGAGGUACAGACAAGGCGCAGGCAGAGACGGAGUACAGGAGGAGCAGACUGGCAACAGUUGGAUUAGCUAAAGCGACGGCACAGACAGAGUUCAGGCAGCAGCAACAAGACUUCAGUAACAGGUUCAAUAACAGGACUGAACUAGAGUAACCUUAGUUCACGUGAGUCUGAUGAUCAGAUCCACACUACACUGUAACACAGAGCUGUGUGUGUGUGUGUGUGUGUGUGUGUGUGUGUGUGUGUGUGUGUGUGUGUGUGUGUGUGUGUGUGUGUGUGUGUGUGUGUGUGUGUGUGUGUGUGUGUGUGUGUGUGUGUGUGUGUGUGUGUGUGUGUGUGUGUGUGCGUGUGUGUGU